rnacentral:lncRNA from 1 species
CCCAAGUUCCGAUCUUUCUCCAACCUCCACACUACCUCUCUUCUGUCCCGCCAUGGACUAGAAAAUCAAUCCAAGAAAGCAUUAAAUUAUAUGAAAAAAGGAAUAAAAUAUGCUCAAUCUCACACGAUACAUGAAAAUUCUAAAGCCGAACCUUCGAUUCAGAUCUGGGUAUAACAAAUGAAUUGUCUGGAAUUCUUCGUGGACCACAGUUAUCACCCAUUUUUACCCAGAUGUGAAAAUUCAAGAAAGUUAGAUCUUUUUCUGCCCUGCCCCUUUUUGACUAAACUCGAAGUAUAGAUUCAAGACGGAAUACUCAAACUCGGAGAAAGAGAAAGGAUUGAGAAAAAGUAGAGAUAGAAG